AGGACGAACGCUGGCGGCGUGCUUAACACAUGCAAGUCACGGGGGCCCGUAGCAAUACGGGCAACCGGCGAACGGGUGCGUAACACGUGAGCAAUCUGCCGAUCUCUGGGGGAUAGCCAGCCUAACGGCUGGGUAAUACCGCAUACGCUCGUUGGGGGGAGUCCCCUGAUGAGGAAACCUCUGGGGGAGAUCGAGGAGCUCGCGACCUAUCAGCUAGUUGGCGGGUAACGGCCCACCAAGGCAGCGACGGGUAGCUGGUCUGAGAGGAUGGCCAGCCACAUUGGGACUGCGACACGGCCCAGACUCCUACGGGAGGCAGCAGUGGGGAAUAUUGCGCAAUGGACGAAAGUCUGACGCAGCGACGCCGCGUGUGGGAUGAAGCCUUUCGGGGUGUAAACCACUGUUGCCCGGGACGAAACUCCUCUUUCGAGAGGAUUGACGGUACCGGGUGAGGAGCACCGGCUAACUCUGCGCCAGCAGCCGC
rnacentral:rRNA from 1 species